CCUUAGGCUGUUUUUACAGCCAUGUAAACUAAUGUAAAAGAACAGU
rfam:Struthio camelus australis contig77920, whole genome shotgun sequence.